GCUCAUUGACUCUUCUUUCACUUAGUUGUCACAUCCAAGUAGGUUCGCAUCACUUCCGCUUUCGAUUGGUAUUUCAUUGGGAAAUGAAGCGGACAAUCUACUCUCAGUAGCACUGAUCACCAUUGGUGAGGAUUUGACAACUAUUGUCUUCCAUUAUCUUCGAAGGGUCUUUGAACUUGUGCAGAGCUCCUCUGCUGGAU
rnacentral:lncRNA from 1 species